rnacentral:rRNA from 1 species
ACAUCAACCUUGACCUCAAAUCGGGUGAGACUACCCGCUGAACUUAAGCAUAUCAAUAAGCGGAGGAAAAGAAACUAACAAGGGAUUCCCCUAGUAACUGCGAGUGAAGCGGGAAAAGCUCAAAUUUAAAAUGUGGUGGUCUUUGGCC